GGAGGAGUGGCUGAGUGGUUGAAAGCGGCGGUCUUGAAAACCGUUAGGCUCGUAAGGGUCUCAGGGGUUCGAAUCCUCUCUCCUCCGCCA
rnacentral:tRNA from 1 species